rnacentral:rRNA from 1 species
UGGCAGUCAGAGGCGAUGAAGGACGUGCUAAUCUGCGAUAAGCGUCGGUAAGGUGAUAUGAACCGUUAUAACCGGCGAUUUCCGAAUGGGGAAACCCAGUGUGAUUCGUCACACUAUCAUUAACUGAAUCCAUAGGUUAAUGAGGCGAACCGGGGGAACUGAAACAUCUAAGUACCCCGAGGAAAAGAAAUCAACCGAGAUUCCCCCAGUAGCGGCGAGCGAACGGGGAGCAGCCCAGAGCCUGAAUCAGUGUGUGUGUUAGUGGAAGCGUCUGGAAAGGCGUGCGAUACAGGGUGACAGCCCCGUACACAAAAAUGCACAUACUGUGAGCUCGAUGAGUAGGGCGGGACACGUGGUAUCCUGUCUGAAUAUGGGGGGACCAUCCUCCAAGGCUAAAUACUCCUGACUGACCGAUAGUGAACCAGUACCGUGAGGGAAAGGCGAAAAGAACCCCGGCGAGGGGAGUGAAAAAGAACCUGAAACCGUGUACGUACAAGCAGUGGGAGCACGCUUAGGCGUGUGACUGCGUACCUUUUGUAUAAUGGGUCAGCGACUUAUAUUCUGUAGCAAGGUUAACCGAAUAGGGGAGCCGAAGGGAAACCGAGUCUUAACUGGGCGUUAAGUUGCAGGGUAUAGACCCGAAACCCGGUGAUCUAGCCAUGGGCAGGUUGAAGGUUGGGUAACACUAACUGGAGGACCGAACCGACUAAUGUUGAAAAAUUAGCGGAUGACUUGUGGCUGGGGGUGAAAGGCCAAUCAAACCGGGAGAUAGCUGGUUCUCCCCGAAAGCUAUUUAGGUAGCGCCUCGUGAAUUCAUCUCCGGGGGUAGAGCACUGUUUCGGCAAGGGGGUCAUCCCGACUUACCAACCCGAUGCAAACUGCGAAUACCGGAGAAUGUUAUCACGGGAGACACACGGCGGGUGCUAACGUCCGUCGUGAAGAGGGAAACAACCCAGACCGCCAGCUAAGGUCCCAAAGUCAUGGUUAAGUGGGAAACGAUGUGGGAAGGCCCAGACAGCCAGGAUGUUGGCUUAGAAGCAGCCAUCAUUUAAAGAAAGCGUAAUAGCUCACUGGUCGAGUCGGCCUGCGCGGAAGAUGUAACGGGGCUAAACCAUGCACCGAAGCUGCGGCAGCGACGCUUAUGCGUUGUUGGGUAGGGGAGCGUUCUGUAAGCCUGUGAAGGUGUGCUGUGAGGUAUGCUGGAGGUAUCAGAAGUGCGAAUGCUGACAUAAGUAACGAUAAAGCGGGUGAAAAGCCCGCUCGCCGGAAGACCAAGGGUUCCUGUCCAACGUUAAUCGGGGCAGGGUGAGUCGACCCCUAAGGCGAGGCCGAAAGGCGUAGUCGAUGGGAAACAGGUUAAUAUUCCUGUACUUGGUGUUACUGCGAAGGGGGGACGGAGAAGGCUAUGUUGGCCGGGCGACGGUUGUCCCGGUUUAAGCGUGUAGGCUGGUUUUCCAGGCAAAUCCGGAAAAUCAAGGCCGAGGCGUGAUGACGAGGCACUACGGUGCUGAAGCAACAAAUGCCCUGCUUCCAGGAAAAGCCUCUAAGCAUCAGGUAACAUCAAAUCGUACCCCAAACCGACACAGGUGGUCAGGUAGAGAAUACCAAGGCGCUUGAGAGAACUCGGGUGAAGGAACUAGGCAAAAUGGUGCCGUAACUUCGGGAGAAGGCACGCUGAUACGUAGGUGAAGCGACUUGCUCGUGGAGCUGAAAUCAGUCGAAGAUACCAGCUGGCUGCAACUGUUUAUUAAAAACACAGCACUGUGCAAACACGAAAGUGGACGUAUACGGUGUGACGCCUGCCCGGUGCCGGAAGGUUAAUUGAUGGGGUUAGCGCAAGCGAAGCUCUUGAUCGAAGCCCCGGUAAACGGCGGCCGUAACUAUAACGGUCCUAAGGUAGCGAAAUUCCUUGUCGGGUAAGUUCCGACCUGCACGAAUGGCGUAAUGAUGGCCAGGCUGUCUCCACCCGAGACUCAGUGAAAUUGAACUCGCUGUGAAGAUGCAGUGUACCCGCGGCAAGACGGAAAGACCCCGUGAACCUUUACUAUAGCUUGACACUGAACAUUGAGCCUUGAUGUGUAGGAUAGGUGGGAGGCUUUGAAGUGUGGACGCCAGUCUGCAUGGAGCCGACCUUGAAAUACCACCCUUUAAUGUUUGAUGUUCUAACGUGGACCCGUGAUCCGGGUUGCGGACAGUGUCUGGUGGGUAGUUUGACUGGGGCGGUCUCCUCCUAAAGAGUAACGGAGGAGCACGAAGGUUGGCUAAUCCUGGUCGGACAUCAGGAGGUUAGUGCAAUGGCAUAAGCCAGCUUGACUGCGAGCGUGACGGCGCGAGCAGGUGCGAAAGCAGGUCAUAGUGAUCCGGUGGUUCUGAAUGGAAGGGCCAUCGCUCAACGGAUAAAAGGUACUCCGGGGAUAACAGGCUGAUACCGCCCAAGAGUUCAUAUCGACGGCGGUGUUUGGCACCUCGAUGUCGGCUCAUCACAUCCUGGGGCUGAAGUAGGUCCCAAGGGUAUGGCUGUUCGCCAUUUAAAGUGGUACGCGAGCUGGGUUUAGAACGUCGUGAGACAGUUCGGUCCCUAUCUGCCGUGGGC